AUCAAGACGGUAGACGGGAACGUGGUGUUCAUGGCGGCGCGGAGGGGCGGAGACAUCAAGUUCAAGGACACGCACACCGCCAUCUUCGGCAACAUGACCAUCCAGCAGGUCAUGGACUGGACUAAAGAGCAGACGGGUAAACUGGACAAGAUGCUGGCAGAGGCCAACAGGGUUAAAAGAGAGGCGAGAGCCGUGAAGGAAAAAUACGACAAAGUGAUGGGCCAAAAGGGCGCCGGACGGG